UGGAACACGGGCCUCGACUGUUUACCAAAAACAUAGCCCUCGGCUAAUAUGAAAAUAGAUGUAUAGAGGGUGAUGCCUGCCCAAUGGUUGUAUCUAAAAGCGGUUGAUAAAAGUCGACCUCGUAAGGACAAUUGAAUGGCCGCGGUAACACUGACCGUGAUAAUGUAGCGUAAUCAAUAGCCAAUUAAUUGUUGGCCAGUAUGAAUGGCGCCACGAAGGCCCCACUGUCUUAAGGAAAUUCCCAGUGAAAUUGAAUUCGUAGUGAAGAUGCUACGUCCAAUUUGUUAGACGAAAAGACCCCGUUGAGCUUUACUGGAGCACUUAUAUGGCCCCGGCCUUCCCAUGCCUGGGAACCGGCCGAAUUUAAAUGGGCGGCUUAGAUUAUGUGGCAGCCCCCCGCUGGGGCAAAUGAAACACCACUCCCCCAUGUCAAAGGGGCUAACCCCCCCCUUGGGGGGGACAGUGUAAGUAGGACAGUUUGGUUGGGGCGACCGCCUUUUAAAAAGUAACGAAGGUGCGCUUAAGGUGUGCAAUUAAUGACUGAAGCCUGACUGCGAGGGGGGUACCCCGAGCAGACACCCCUAAGCCCGCCCGAAGGGCGGCGGUGGGGUGGGCCAUAGUGACCCGUUAAUUUAGAGUGGAAUAGUUAACGAUCAACGAAUAAAAG
rnacentral:rRNA from 1 species